CCCUGGGCAGUUGCCUGUUUUGCUGUUAAUCCUGUUUUGUAUGUAGCCAAGCAGCUAUUUAAUCUGCUGCUAAACUCCAACACAAUGCAGAGACUACUUCCCACAGUGACGAGAGGGAGCGAAAGUCGGGGGGCAUGUAUUUAAAGAUGUAGGCAACAAGACCAAAACUACCUUCAAGACCAGAUACACAUGUCAUGUGGGAGCAAGGUUCCUCCAAUCCAAGUACGAAGCACCUCCCACUGUUGGCCUGCAGAGCUUAAGUCAAGAGGGAGAUUAAACCGAGGAGGAUGCGCUACUUGCUCCCGCACGUCAUCAGGAGCGGCUACAUGAGCUGUUUGUGGAUCUGGAUUGAAACGUCAAUGACGCUCACCUCACCCUCCUGGAAUACUGACCACCUGUUCCUCCCAACCGUCUCAAUUUACUCCAGCAUAUGCCGAGCUGCAGCUACCCGGUGGCAUGAGCAUAUAGAUCUCAUGCAUAACGCAUUAUUGCUUUGUGCCGUCCUGGGUGGAUUUGCGUCUGUGACCUGGAAAAAUGAUCUUGAGAGAAAGAUGAAGCCAGAGGGCGCUGUUCAUUGAGAUCACUGGGGCUCUCUUCAGGUGACUUCUGCUCAGAGGAAGCUUCAACAAAUUCCUCAAAAUGAAGAGAUCCAUCAGUGAACCAAGGGGCUCCUGUUGGAUUCAUGUUGCUUGAAAACCUUUUAAUAAGGUCACAGGACCUCACUCAUGCUCCUGUUGCUCUGAACUAUUCAUCCUGGUGGCUGCCUGAAGUAUAGGUCACAAACCAUGAAGUCACCAUGUUAUUGGAUGGGAUAUGGAGUUGGUGCUCGAGGGAAAAAAACGGAUCCUGUUCCAGCAGUUUGGAGCCAAUUGUGCAGAAGAUUUAAUGGAUUGGGAUGGUGUGUGUCGACGACAUCGGCGAUGGAAUGAAUUUUGAUAGAGGCCUCUUAUCUGACAGUGCAGCAGCCGGCUUGGCAAAUCCACCAGGAUCUUAACUGGAAACCUUGGAUUCAGUAUCUUCUCAGCCUCAGGUUGGAACCAGUUCUUCAACCGCCCCCGUCUGGAUGGUUGUAUGAAUUUUAGGAUACGCUGACCUAUUGUGAGCCCCGUCCCCUGAGUUAAGCUGCUAAUGUUGAGCUCUCCAUUCUUGCACAGCACACACAGCCUGCAGUUAACAGAAAACACCAGAGGCACGUUUGCCUUUUUAAAUGUUUAUCUUUCACACAGACAGAAGUGGAAAUAAACAGCCUUCUUAUUUCAAACCAGCGACCUUUAGCUGGCUGGAACGACAACAGUCACCAGCUAAUGAAGCUACGUUAAUCCUUCAUGUUCGGGAAAAUGGAAGGAUGCAUUUGUCCGCUGUGUUCGAUGGAGCCUUGGAAAUGGGACAGCCAAGUUUUUCCAGUGCAGCCUCUGAAGGAUUGUGGCCCUGGCAUCGGGACAUGAGUAAAAUGAGGAUCAUGUCAUGAACACAUAUUGUGUUAAAAGAGGCUGAUGAUGCGAGUGUGGGGCAGAAAUGUAUCUUCUCUAGUUGCUCAUCGAUUAAGAAUAUAUAUCCACACAGAUCUCAUAUUAAUGAUUUGUCCUGAGUAUUUGUUAUCAUAAAGCCUCAGGAUUUUGUGCUGUGCCUUUUGUUUGCUACUAGUCACACUAUGUUUAUAUCUGAAUCCAUGUUCUUUUCCCUUUAUAUUCUUGGUUUUGGAAAUGCUCAAAUAAAUAAAUCCCACCCUCUUUAUGCACUUGGUGUAUCACUUCACUCGAGUGUGCUUUAAUUUUGACAUCUGGAGAAAGCUUAAGGGACGACUGUGCCAAGUUACAGUUAAGAUAUGGUGGGACCAUCUGCCCAGUCAGGAGAAAUGUUGAGCAACAAGCAUACUGAACGUGCGGUUCAUGAUAUCAUCAUCAGGACAUAAUACAAAUGUAAUUGUCAUUUCAAUUCCCCUUUGUGGGAUGAAUAA